rnacentral:rRNA from 1 species
GACGAACGCUGGCGGCGUGCUUAACACAUGCAAGUCGAACGGUGAAGCGCCUUCCUUUUUGGUGGGUGUGGAUGAGUGGCGAACGGGUGAGUAACACGUGAGUAACCUGCCCCCUUCUUCUGGAUAACCGCAUGAAAGUGUGGCUAAUACGGGAUAUUCUGGGUCUGUCGCAUGAUGGGUCUGGGAAAGAUAUUGUUUCGGUGGGGGAUGGGCUCGCGGCCUAUCAGCUUGUUGGUGGGGUGAUGGCCUACCAAGGCGGUGACGGGUAGCCGGCCUGAGAGGGUGGGCGGCCACACUGGGGCGGAGCGACGGAGCAGACUCCGACAGGAGGCAGCAGUGGGGAAUACUGCACAAUGGGCGGAAGGCUGAUGCAGCGACGCGGCGUGAGGGAUGGAGGCCGGCGGGUUGUGAACUUCUUUCGCCAGUGAAGCAGGCCUGCCUCGUUUGUGGGUGGGUUGACGGUAGCUGGACAAGAAGCGCCGGCUAACUACGUG